rnacentral:rRNA from 1 species
UACGUAGGGUGCAAGCGUUAAUCGGAAUUACUGGGCGUAAAGCGUGCGCAGGCGGUUUGUUAAGACAGAUGUGAAAUCCCCGGGCUUAACCUGGGAAUGGCGUUUGUAACUGGCAAGCUAGAGUGUGUCAGAGGGAGGUAGAAUUCCACGUGUAGCAGUGAAAUGCGUAGAGAUGUGGAGGAAUACCGAUGGCGAAGGCAGCCUCCUGGGAUAACACUGACGCUCAGGCACGAAAGCGUGGGGAGCAAACAGG